rnacentral:rRNA from 1 species
AAACUUUCAACAAUGGAUCUCUUGGUUCCGGCAUCGAUGAAGAACGCAGCGAAAUGCGAUAAUUAAUGUGAAUUGCACAAUUCAGUGAAUCAUCGAGUCUUUGAACGCACAUUGCACCCCCUGGUAUUCCGGGGGGUAUGCCUGUCCGAGCGUCAUUG